CCUUUGUCUCCAGGAUAGGGACGCAACCUCCAGCAGCCUCGCGUGGCCCCAGAGUUCCGGCAAGGGUCGCGCAGGCAUAAAGGCUGUUGGAUACCCCUGGAACUGCGUUUAGAAACAGAUGUGAUCUAUGUGUCGGAGAGGAAGCCAAGUCCUGGUGCUCUGGAACCUAAAACUGAAUGUCCCUUCCACUCAGGAAUUUCUCUCUCAGACAUCAUCUGACCUGUGUGCAAAGGUGAGCAUGAGUGACUCCAUACCUCUCAGCUAGAAUAACGGAAAGCACUUAACUUCCCAUCCUUCAGAGCUCAGCUAGCUAGAUCUAUGACAGACACACAGAGUGGCCAAUGAGCAGAAGCAUUGAAGAGAACUGACACAGUCUCCUGUUUCCAAGACAGCAAAGAGAACUGCAAAGGAGUGUGUGAAUCCAGGAGCACAUGCUGAGCUGCAUGCCUUUUAUGUUUGAUCUGACAUCUGAAACAACUGUGGUGGCAGAAACCACAGAUCUUCAGGAGAAAAUAAAUUCCUUAACAUUUCAU
ensembl:antisense